UUUUUUUUUUUUUAAUUUCUUGAACUUGCUUUCUUGGAGAACUAUUUCUACAGUAUUGAUGUAUUUACCCUUACCCAGAUACAACAAAGAGUUAUUAAAUACUUGUUUUCAUUCUGGGUAUCUUCAUUUUCCUCCUGUCCUUGCAACUUAGGAAUCUGCUGAGGGGUAGUUCAUGGGUCUGCCACUAGAGAGAGUGCCGGCCAAGAUUUUGGGUCUAGAGUUUGAAAGGUCAGUGUUUUGCGAAGAAGGAGCAAGAGGAGAUUUGCUCCCUUAGAUCGCCUAAAGAAUGAGCUUUGACUGUCUAUGAUCGGAAAGUUCUUUACCCCACUUCUGCCUCUAAUUUUUUCUAAGUGUCAGUAGUAGUAGCAGUGUUAGUAUUAUUUAAUUUUUGGUUUAAUUCGAACAUCUGUUGGAAACUUUGCUAGUCUAUCUGUGGUUUUUACCCUAGAACUUCCUACGCUUUCUUCCUUUUAUUCCCCAAACUCCCAUGUUUUCUUCAAUCAUUGAACUCACAUUAUACUAUCAUUACUUAUUACUGUUUAUGGUGCCCUCCUUAUCACUUAUGAUCUUAUGAAGGACAAGAGUUACUUUAUGAAUUUAAUUUGUUCUAGCACAAAGUUGGCACUUGGUUCAUGUUCUGUAAUUAUAAAAUAAUGAAUGCAGAAACAAAAUGAAAGACGAUGAUACGAUGCAGGAGGGAAUCUGUAUUUCAGGAUGUCUAUCUUGCUGCAGGAUGCCUGCAAUUGGGAUACUAAAUUUGGAUUUUAAAAUUUCAAAGAAGAAAGGCAUAGCCAGAGAAAAUAAAACAAGUAGCUUACUUAUCUCCAACUUUCAAUGAAAAGAAAGAGAAGGACAAUAAAAGCAAAAAGAAAAAAUUCAAGAAGUUCCCUUCAUGGCUCAGCAGAAACGAAUCUCACUAGCAUCCAUGAGGGCAAAGGUUCGAUCCCUGGCCUUGCUCAGUUGGUUAAGGAUCCAGUGUUGCUGUGAGCUGUGGUAUAGGUCGUACAUGUGGCUCGGAUCCUGCAUUGCCAUGGCUGUGGUGUGGGCCAGAAGCUACAGUUCUGAUUUGAACCCUAGCCUGGGACCUCCAUAUGCUGUGGGUGCAGAUCUAAAAGCCACCCCCACUCCCCAAACAAAAAGAGAGAGAGAGAGAGAAGGGACUAUUUCAUGUCCCUUAAAAAGAUAAAUCAUCAAUUUGAGCCAGAAAACAAUGACUUGGCUCCGAUAGUAUCGCAUACAUUGAUAAGAAUUACAUGUAAGUCUGAAUCUUGCUUAUGUGUAUCCUGUGGUCCUCAGAGAGAUGAAGGAGGUAGACAGGUGCAGAGAGUAAAGGACCCAAGAUCCCAUUAUGAAUUUUCAUUUAAAAUUAAAAGACCAUUGGAUAUGAUACUUUUUUCUUCCUUAUGUAGUUUUUUGUUUUGUUUUGUUUUGUUUUGUUUUUUCCCUAAUUACAAGACAUUAUCAGGUUCUGGAGGAUUUUGACCCUCUCAUCCAGGAUAGUUUACGCUCCCUACUGCAUCCCAUCAGCAUGCCAUCUACAUCCAUCCACAUACCUGUAAUCAGAACACUGUUUAAUUAAACUAUUAAAUAGAACAAGCUUAAAGACAAAGCCCUCAGAUGCAUCACUAGGGACCUCUGUCGAGUUUGACAUUGAUCCACUAAUGCUUUCUUUGUGAUUUAUGCAAUCACCUAUGAAUUAAAUUAUUAUACUGUCAUAUAAUCCACAUUUCUACAUCUUGAAAAGGACGUAACCAUGAGAAUUUUGCCAAAGGUCUUCUAAAAUCCAGAUUAAAAUAUGUAUCUAUUUCUGAGUCUAAUAACCCUGUCAAAAAUGGUUAUGUUUACUUUGCCCUCACCCAUUUUUCAUGAACUAGUGCUGUUUUUUUUAAUUGAUCCAUAGCUUUUACAUAAAUAACAAUCCAUUUAAUCAUUCAGCAAAUGUUUAUUUCUAAGAAAUCUCUGUGAUAAGCAUGACACUAAAUAUUUGUGUCUGACCACUAACUUCAAUAUUUUGCAUCUACCUUUUGUAUUUAAAAAGUAUUUUUUAAAAAUGAACAAUAUUUGCAUGACCGCAGUCUUUAGGAAUCUAAUCUGUUCCCUCAGAAUUCCAGUCUAAUCUCUGAAGAUGAUUCUCUGAUAUCAACUUCAAGAUUUAAAAAAAAAAGAAAACCAGUGUCGUAUGUUUAAUUUUUAUGGCACAGGCUAGAUCUCCUCAAUUCCUUUCUGGUGCAUUUUCCUCCCCAGGGAUCUUAUUUUUCCCAUUUCUCCAUUAAGGACCGUCUGCUUUUUUUUUAGCCCUUCUAUGACCUACCUAGAUUCUUCCAUAGUUUGUAUCAGUUCUGUGUGCUAAGUUGUUUCUCUUACUCUGUAACCCGUGUUUGGCAUUUGGUCUUGUUGGAUUUGGGAAGAAGGAAGAAAACCUUAGCCCCUUUGGUAUGGUUGCAGUUCUAUCUUCCUCACAGUCAAUGGCUUUGUGCUCCUCUCUAUGACUUCGUGUGGAAUGAGUCACUUUUGUCUGUUAUACUGUACAGGCACAACACUUCUAACAAGCCACAGAUGCUGCUUCUGGACCUCGACCCUGCUGUCUUGCUCCCAGUUAGUCGUUUUAGCCACACGUGGUAUCUUGGUAUUUUCACAUCUAGUGUGCUAUAUCCUGGUGGUCUUGUUGGAGUAAAAGAUGACAGCAUCCUAAAAAUGUCUGGUGAUGAGAUUACGUCUAUGAAUGGAUCAUUCAGUCUUAAAUAUGUCCAAAUCAUGCCCCACAGUCCUAUGUAUUUCUAUCAUGCCAAAUUCCGUGAUUUGGAAUCCUUUCUGUAUGAUUUUGCUAACGCUCCUUAGUAAAAUCAUCUGUCUUGCUCUCAAAUCCUGCCUUUGGUUACACGACAAUGGUUUCUUUUUAAAAAAAUAACUAGCAAAAUUACUAUGCAAGAAUGCUUGGAGCCACAUGCUCUGUAGUGAAUAUUGAUUGCAUACCUACCUUAUAAAAAAUCUGUGACUUUUCCCAGAAAACUUACUAUGAAAAAUAGAAAUAAAAGAGCAACCAUUAAGACAGAAAACAAAGCCAAGAAUGAGGACACAACACAGAGCCCUAAGGUUAUUUCAUUAUUUGUUAUUUUUUCCUUGCCUUUAAUUUUUCCUUUCAUAUCCUUUCCUAGGAAACUUGUCUCCCCAGGAGAGGCAGUCCUCACUGUUGCAAGAUCAUGGAAAGAUGUACAGAAGAAAUGAGCUCUUUUGUUUGCCCUCUUUAUUCAUCCUCAUUCCCUUUGCCAAAACAAACACAUUUGCAUUCUGAAGUCAACAGCACCAGUCAACUGUGCUUGCCAUAGAUUAACCUCUGUAAAAUCUGUUUUUUUGUUUGUUUGGUUUUUUUUUUGAACUCUUUGGAGGCUUUGAUGGUAAAACUGAGAAAUCCAAAGUGUCUUCUUUUAUCCUACUUGGCAUCACAUGAGACUGUGUUACUGGCGUUAAUGCAGGCCCGUUAGUCUCUUUUCUUUUGUCUUAUUGACUUUGUGUCAAUUUCAUCAGGGAUUGAAUUUGUCCGAUUGUGCACCUUCUACAUGACUUUCUGAUGGAAAGUUUCUCUUAUUUCAUGUUUAUUUGGAGGUUCCACUUGAAAUACUGCAAGUAUUUUGGCCACAUCCAUGGCAUGUAGAAAUUCCUAGGCAAGGGAUCGGACCCAGGCCUCCACAGUGACAACCUCUGAUCCUUAACCUGAGACAUCAUAAGGGAACUCUGAAAUAUUGCAUUUUUAUCCUCACAAUACUCUUGUGAUUUAGCCAGCAAAGAUAUUUAUAUCUGAAUUUUCCAGAUACUGAAAUGGACACUUAAUUGGACUAGGCAAUUUACUCCAAUCACAAGGCACCUGGAAAAACCAGGACUUGAACUCAGGACUUAUGAUUACAUGUCCUUUUCACAUUAUUUCCUUAGCACUCAAUUCUGUAUUGAAUUAAAGAGCACAAUUACAUACAUUUCUUAUCCUAAAAUGUCUUUUCUAACUUUGCUUCCUUCUCAAGCCACCACCUCAUUUCCAUCCUUGUUUUUAGGCAAAUAUUUUCCAAAGGGUUGUGGAGUGAGAGAUAAUACUGGGAGAAAAUAAUGGAAGCAAAAUAGUUUUUGGUUCUCCUAGAAUUCCAUUUUCACCAUCCCCAAAUAAAACAAAGAGAAAAACUAGGAUACCAUAAUAAAAGCCAAUGGAAAAUUUCUGCAGUAAAACCAAGUAACUUUGUUCUGGCUGUAGCUACAGCCAGUGGAAGUUCCCAAGCCAGGGACUGAGCCCACCUCACAGCAGCACCUGAGGCACAGCAGUCACAACACCAGACCCUCAACCCAUUGAGCCAUCUACGAACUCUAUGAACCAAGUGAUUAAGGAUCUUCACACGCUCCCUAAAUAUGACUGUGAGAAUGAGAGGUACUGACAUCUGCAUGGUGGAAAGCGCAAGGAGGAAGCAGUGGGGCAUCUGGAAGCCCCAAGAGAAGAAAAGCUGCAAGACUGGUAUCGUUGCAGUGUACGUCACCAGGACAAUUUGCGUGUUAAACAUUCACUGGGGAGUUCUCUUAGGAUCUAUCCCUCCGGAAGGGAGAAAACACAAACACCGCUGGGCAGGGGAGAGGUUCAUCUGCGAUGCAGUUAUAGACGGCGAUAGCACAUCUGGAGAGCUCUGGAGCUGGAAUGGACUUUCAGCGUUGUCCCAAGAUGGUGCUGCCUGGAUAUGAUUAUACUUCUGUAUUGAUGGGUCACUGAGUACGAACAAAUCUGACAAGGCUACAGGACCUCUGGCGAAGCAGGUUUUUCUCAGCUCUUUCAGUGCUUAUAGAGGGCUAAUAGUUGAUGUCAUCUUUUGUCAAUACUUCCAGCAGGUGGAAGAAGCAGGAUUUCAUAUCAAAAGGAAUUUGGUUAGCACCACACUGAGUCCACCAAACGUACUCCUGGGAAAGUGUCAGGCUAGCCAGCAAAAUUGGGAAUCUCCACUAUAGACCCCAACUUAUUUGCAAAUGGGAGGGUACUGCUGGGAAAGGCGGGAGUGGUCUGACCCCUAUGACUUUUCUAAACAAGCAAUCCAAAGCUCUGUUCUAGGACAAAGCCCCAUAGAGAGAAUUACCUAUUUUAAGGAGAAUACAAAUUGAGCAGAGGAAGCAAAACAGGGAAAAAGAACAAAAUAUCCAGAAAUUUUGAGUAAUCAGAUAGUUUGAAGUUAAAAAUUUUUUUGUCAUGUCAAAACGAAAGCAAUAACAACAAAAGCGAAUGUUUCACAGAAGUGAAACUUAAAAACCUGUCCUACCUCACUACCAUGUUUCUAAAAGUACAGGAAAACUCAUUUCAUAUCAAAAUGAGAAUCAGAAAAGAGUUAUAUAUGAAAUUAGCAUAAGAAAAACAGUAUUAGUAUAGGUAUAAAAUCUAUACGGACAAUGAAACUCUGCCAAGAAUACAAAUCUUUAAAAAAAAAAAAAAUUACAGGGAGUUGCCAUCGUGGCUCAGUGACAAUGAACCCGACUAGGAUCCAUGAGGAUGCAUGUUCGAUCCCUGGCCUCGAUCAGUGGGUUAAGGAUCCAAUGUUGCCAUGAGCUGUGGUGUAGGUCACAGAGGUGGCUCGGAUCCCAAGUUUCUGUGGCCGUGGCGUUGGCUAGCAGCUGUAACUCCAAUGCAUCCCCUAGCCUGGGAACUUCCAUAUGCUAUGGGUGCAGCCCUAAAAAGAAAAAAAAAAAAAAAGAUACAAUUCUAUGAAACAGAUUUAAAAAACUCUAAACUAAUAUUCCUUUUUUAAAAAAAAGCUUAAAGUCAUUGGAAAAAUGAUAGAAGCUGUGAAAAAAAACAUAAAUCAAAAAUUAAAAAGGUUCAUAAAUUAUGUAACUGCAGGAAAGAAAAAUUUAAAUAAAAGAGGUUAUAACUCAGAAAAUAAUUUUUAUUUAUUAUUUUUAUUUUUUUUUAGUUCUGCAUGUGCAGCAUAUGGAAUUUCCCAGGCCAGAGGUCAAAUUGGAGCUGUAGCUAAUGGCCUACACCAAGGCCACAGCAGCACAGGAUCUGAGUUGCAUCUGCAAAUGGCAACACCAGAUCCUUAACCCACUGAGCAGAGCUAGGGACUGAACCUGCAUCCUCAUGGGUACUAGCCAGGUUCGUUACCCCUGAGCCAUAACAGGAACUCCUCAGAAAGUAAUUAUUAAAAAAAGAAUUUUACAAAUGAGGACUCAACCAGAAGACACAUAAAAAAAACCAAAAAAAUACAGAUUGCAUCUUUAAAAACAGAAGACAGAAAUGAGAAAAAAGUCAAGCCAACAAAACAAAACAUUAGAGAUAAAUGUUUUGUUUAACUAUGGAAAAUAAGCAAAGACGAUCUAACAAGUAGAUCUUAAAUUUAUAAGUAUAUCUAAUAAAGGGUUGGUUUGGAAGAAAAUGAGAGGAUAAAACAUAAUCGAUUUUGAAACUGUAACUUAAGAUUUUUUUUUCUCUUUUCUUUUUAGGAACACACUCACGGCACAUGGAGGUUCCAGGCUAGGGGCUGAAUCGGAGCUAUAGCUGCCGGCCCACCCCACAGCCACAGCAAUGUGGGAUCUGAGCCACCUCUGUGACCUAUACCACAGCUCAGGGUAAUGCCAGAUCCCUAAUCCACUGAACAAGGCCAGAGAUUGAACCCGCAUCCUUAUGGAUACUAGUCAGAUUUGUUAACCACUGAGCCAAGACAGGAACUCCCAGAACCUUACCUGAGAUUUGAAAAAAAAUUGACUUGGGCAUUUCCAUUGUAGAUCAGUGAAACAAACCUGACUAUUAUCCAUGAGGACUUGGGUUCAAACCUUGGCUUCACUCAGGGGGUGAGGGAUCUGGUGUUGCCCCAAGAUGUGCUGUAGGUCACAGAUGGUACUGGAUCUGGCAUGGCUGUGGCUUAGGCUGGCAGCUGCAGCUCCAAUUCAACCCCUGGCCUGUGAACUUCCAUAUGCCACACUUGUGGCCCUAAAAAAAAAAAAAAAAAAAAAAAAAAAA
rnacentral:lncRNA from 1 species